rnacentral:rRNA from 1 species
CCUACGGGCGGCUGCAGUGGGGAAUAUUGGACAAUGGGGGCAACCCUGAUCCAGCCAUGCCGCGUGUGUGAAGAAGGCCUUAGGGUUGUAAAGCACUUUCAGUGAGGAGGAAAAGUUAAGGGUUAAUACCCCUUAGCCCUGACGUUACUCACAGAAGAAGCACCGGCAAACUCCGUGCCAGCAGCCGCGGUAAUACGGAGGGUGCGAGCGUUAAUCGGAAUUACUGGGCGUAAAGCGCGCGUAGGCGGUUUGUUAAGCCGGUUGUGAAAUCCCUAGGCUCAACCUAGGAACUGCACCCGGAACUGGCAGGCUAGAGUACAGUAGAGGAAGGUGGAAUUCCAAGUGUAGCGGUGAAAUGCGUAGAUAUUUGGAGGAACAUCAGUGGCGAAGGCGGCCUUCUGGACUGAUACUGACGCUGAGGUGCGAAAGCGUGGGGAGCAAACAGGAUUAGAUACCCCUGUAGUC